AACGAACGCUGGCGGCAGGCUUAACACAUGCAAGUCGAGCGCCCCGCAAGGGGUGCGGCAGACGGGUGAGUAACGCGUGGGAAUCUACCCAUCUCUACGGAAUAACGCAUGGAAACGUGUGCUAACACCGUAUACGUCCUUCGGGAGAAAGAUUUAUCGGAGAUGGAUGAGCCCGCGUUGGAUUAGCUAGUUGGUGGGGUAAAGGCCUACCAAGGCGACGAUCCAUAGCUGGUCUGAGAGGAUGAUCAGCCACACUGGGACUGAGACACGGCCCAGACUCCUACGGGAGGCAGCAGUGGGGAAUAUUGGACAAUGGGCGCAAGCCUGAUCCAGCCAUGCCGCGUGAGUGAUGAAGGCCCUAGGGUUGUAAAGCUCUUUCACCGGUGAAGAUAAUGACGGUAACCGGAGAAGAAGCCCCGGCUAACUUCGUGCCAGCCGCCGCAGUAAGAC
rnacentral:rRNA from 1 species